AUCCAGUUGACGAGUCUUAUAUAUGAGGAAACGCGCGUCCUGCAU
rnacentral:hammerhead_ribozyme from 1 species